GACGAACGCUGGCGGCGUGCCUAACACAUGCAAGUUGAGCGACGAACCGGGCUUCGGCCCGGGGCAAAGCAGCGAACGGGUGAGUAUCACGUGAGUAACCUACCCCGAUGACCGGGACAACUCGAGGAAACUCGGGCUAAUACCGGAUGUGGUGUCCACACAUAAGUGUGUCCAUCAACGGAAGCUUCGGCCUCCGCAUCGGGUUGGGCGCGCGGCCCAUUAGCUUGUUGGUGAGGUAACGGCUCACCAAGGCUCCGAUGGGUAGCUGGUCUGAGAGGACGAUCAGCCACACUGGGACUGAGACACGGCCCAGACUCCUACGGGAGGCAGCAGUGGGGAAUCUUGCGCAAUGCGCGAAAGCGUGACGCAGCAACGCCGCGUGAGGGAAGACGGCCUUCGGGUUGUAAACCUCUUUCAGGAGGGGCGAAGGUUCGCCGGCGAAUAGCCUGGCGGAUUGACGGUACCUCCAGAAGAAGCCCCGGCUAACUACGUGCCAGCAGCCGCGGUAACAC
rnacentral:rRNA from 1 species